rnacentral:rRNA from 1 species
AUACGGAGGAUCCGAGCGUUAUCCGGAUUUAUUGGGUUUAAAGGGAGCGUAGGCGGACGCUUAAGUCAGUUGUGAAAGUUUGCGGCUCAACCGUAAAAUUGCAGUUGAUACUGGGUGUCUUGAGUACAGUAGAGGCAGGGGGAACUCUUGGUGUAGGGGUGAAAUGCUUAGAUAUCACGAAGAACUCCGAUUGCGAAGGCAGCCUGCUGGACUGUAACUGACGCUGAUGCUCGAAAGUGUGGGUAUCAAACAGGAUUAGAUACCCUGGUAGUCCACACAGUAAACGAUGAAUACUCGCUGUUUGCGAUAUACAGUAAGCGGCCAAGCGAAAGCGUUAAGUAUUCCACCUGGGGAGUACGCCGGCAACGGUGAAACUUAAAGGAAUUGGCGGGG